rnacentral:lncRNA from 1 species
UUCCCUUCCUCUCCGUAACAUCAAUAACCGUUUCACACGUUCCCUUAACCUCCGUCUCUCCGCCAAAUCAAACGACGCCGUCAAUCCCAAUGCCGCUUCCUCUUCCUCUUCAUUCACUCGUCAAUCUUGGUCCAUUUCUCCUUCCUCUUCUUUCAAAUUCAGACCUCUUCCUCUCCUUUCAACCUCCGAUCCCUCUCCUCCUAGAGCCACUUCCGUUCCCGAAUCCGCCGGCGAAUCUGCCGACUCUAGUUCGUUGAUUAAGAC